UUGAAUCAGUUGAUUACAAAAGCCGCUUCAACGUAGAUCAGGUCCUAUAACUUCCAAACGCCUUGCACUCCUCCCCAAAGUAUAUUUCAUUUACAUUACUAAAGCGUUGGCAGAACUAUAUAAAUUUAAACCAAUAAUAGUUUUUAUACUAUCUUAAGCCUCUUUAAAAAGAUAAGAAUAUACAAGCCUAGUUUAAUUACACUAUAACAAUAAAAAAAAACUUAGACAUUUCUUAAGUUUGCAGAAUAUCAGCGAUUACUUUUAAGAAUUUAAUAAUUCUUAUCAAUGGUUGAAAGCUUAACUAUACAACUAUAAUACUCAUGUAAAUCACAAAGAAAAUAUAAUAUGUAGCAAUAAAGAUAACGCCAACGGAUAUUGAUAAGUAUUCGCUAGCAGGUAGUUGUUUAUGACUACAAAAACCCAUACCCAAAGAAAGGAUCUGUAUAGCAAUGCUCAAGUAGAGCGAACAACUCACCAACUGCAUGGCCUGAUUGUCGAUAAAUUGCUUUUGUGAAAUAAUUUCGUAAGCGAUUUAUAUUUAUACAUUUUAUAAUGUUUCCUUCUACCGAAUGCCUUAACCGCAAAUAAUCAGUCAGGCAGACAUCAGAAAAGCAAGUAAUAGGCACUUUCGAGUCCAACGAGUCAUUGAUAGAGCUCAUAUUAAGUUGGCAAAAUGGAAACAAUACAGUCACGCAGUAACACCCUCCAGCCGAGCUGUCACCGAAAAGGAAUCUUGCCGCACACAAAGCGCCUUGGGCGGGUGUAAUGGCCUCUACGUAUAUAAAUGUACACGGCAGCAAGGCGUAACCAAAAUUUUGCUAUCCUUAACAAGUGAAAAGCAACACCUGGCCCUGCGUUUUUACCCCAACUCAAACAUUUGGCUGACAAUCCAUGCGAGAGGAUGAUUUCGACCAACUGACCAAAUUUUGGCUAGGAAAAUACAACACCACCUUCCUCGAAUGCUAGUUGGAAGCUAAAUGAAGGCAAAGGUCGCAUUACAUACACCAAACUGGCAAAUACCAGCGUCCACUAGCUGUACAAUAUGGUUUCAAAACGAAAACUAACUGGGUGCUAACUUUGGUUACGAGUAUUGUGCAAUACAUUCCAGUUUGAUGAAUACUUACACUCGAAAUUCUUGCAGUACAUAUAUUGGUAUAUGCGAUUUAUUGCAUUAAAGGCGCUAACAAUUUCAAUAACUUAUAGAUCGGUUUGGUUUAGGUAUGUAUUUCUUUCAUUAACAAGUUGCACUAUAGAUUUUAAGUUUUGCUGUGCUCAUAAACUAGAUUUUUUUUUCCAAUAAUUAAACGCAGCGUGACACUUUUAACACAAACACGUGCCGCACAUUUCGUUGAAAUGUUUUCAUGAAAUUUUUAACUUUAUUUUUUCACUAUUUUAGUUCAGAAAAGUACAAAAUUUUCACAAUUUUCAGC
rnacentral:lncRNA from 1 species